UAGGGAAUCUUCGGCAAUGGACGAAAGUCUGACCGAGCAACGCCGCGUGAGUGAAGAAGGUUUUCGGAUCGUAAAACUCUGUUGUUAGAGAAGAACAAGGACGUUAGUAACUGAACGUCCCCUGACGGUAUCUAAUCAGAAAGCCACGGCUAACUACGUGCCAGCAGCCGCGGUAAUACGUAGGUGGCAAGCGUUGUCCGGAUUUAUUGGGCGUAAAGCGAGCGCAGGCGGUUUCUUAAGUCUGAUGUGAAAGCCCCCGGCUCAACCGGGGAGGGUCAUUGGAAACUGGGAGACUUGAGUGCAGAAGAGGAGAGUGGAAUUCCAUGUGUAGCGGUGAAAUGCGUAGAUAUAUGGAGGAACACCAGUGGCGAAGGCGGCUCUAUGGUCUGUAACUGACGCUGAGGCUAGAAAGCGUGGGGAGCAAACAGG
rnacentral:rRNA from 1 species